CGUAGGGGGCAAGCGUUGUCCGGAAUCAUUGGGCGUAAAGCGCGUGUAGGCGGCCUUGUAAGUCCGUUCUGAAAGCCCGGGGCUCAACCCCGGGAGGCGGAUGGAUACUGCAAGGCUCGAGUACGGAAGAGGCGAGUGGAAUUCCCGGUGUAGCGGUGAAAUGCGCAGAUAUCGGGAGGAACACCAAUGGCGAAGGCAGCUCGCUGGGACGUUACUGACGCUGAGACGCGAAAGCGUGGGAGCAAACAGGAUUAGAUACCCUGGUAGUCCACGCCGUAAACGAUGGAUACUAGGUGUGGGAGGUGUCGACUCCUCCCGUGCCGAAGCUAACGCAUUAAGUAUCCCGCCUGGGGAGUACGGCCGCAAGGCUA
rnacentral:rRNA from 1 species